GUAGCAGCACCGCUUCUAUGCUCCUCUUAUCGCUCUGAUCUCACUGUCCAUCUCACUGCAGGUCGCUGUUGGCCUCCUACUCAUCUUCAUUGUGAAGUAUGACCUGAAUGAUGUUAAGAUACAGCCGAGGCUAAACACAAUGAAUGACGCGGCAACUGUAUUUGUGUUCUUUACUGUUCUUAUCAACAUCUUCAUCACAGCAUUGGGAUUUGAGUCUGGAGGGGGCAGUGUAAUAUUUGAAACUGCACUCGCUCAGACCAGAUCUUUAAACUUCACUGAAGAUGUAUAAGCACAUAAGAAUUGGCACUCAACUUGCCUUUUGUGUCAUCAAAAUGUAUUUCCCGAACAAAUUACUGGACAUUGUCCUCCAUAUCAUAUCUAAGCAAAAAAUCUCAUGUGAUAUUUUGUAAUGUUUAGACAGCACAUUUUAACAAACUAUGAAUUUGUAAUUUUCUCAGUUUAUGUGAAGACGGCAGGCAUUAAGGACACCUUUUUAUUUAAGGAACACAAUAGAGGUUAUAGUGAAAUGUUUGUGAAUUUGUUUUGGUUAUUGCAUCUUUAAAGCAACACUACUGAAAACCUCAUUGAGAUAAAGCAUAUUUUUGUCCAGAAAUAUUUUGAAUAAUUUAAUCAAGCUGUUUCAUACAGUACAUUUGACAUUUGAUUUGUUCCAGCAAAAUAUUUGGGAUGUAUUGAUAAACCAGUUUGCAUAUUGUCUAAGAUGAAGAAGUAAAAACAGUACAUAUACCUGAAAUAUCCUCCUGUACUGACCACCAGGAAAAAAAAGCCAUGACAUUGUCAUUUCAUGUCAUUUAUUGUUUAGAACAUAAGAAAAAAAGGAAAAAUAAAAUGUUUGAAAAAUUAUAUUUUAUUCAUAUGUUAUGCUAUGUCCUCUAUAGU